GACGAACGCUGGCGGCGUGCUUAACACAUGCAAGUCGAACGAUGAAGUUCCUUCGGGAAUGGAUUAGUGGCGAACGGGUGAGGAACACGUGAGAAACCUGCCUUUCAUUUUGGGAUAACUCCGGGAAACCGGGGCUAAAACCGAAUACUCCGUCUCGGCGGCAUCGCUGAGCCGGGAAAAAAUUUUGAUGAAAGAUGGUCUCGCGGCCUAUCAGCUAGUUGGUGAGGUAAUGGCUCACCAAGGCAACGACGGGUAGCCGGCCUGAGAGGGCGACCGGGCACGCUGGGACUCAGACACGGACCAGUCUCCUACGGGAGGGAGCAGUGGGGAGUAUUGGGAAAUGGGCCGAAGCCUGACCCAGCGACGCCUCGUGAGGGAUGAAGGCCUUCGGGUUGUAAACCUCUUUCAGUAGGGAAGAAGCGAAAGUGACGGUACCUAAAGAAGAAGCACCGGCUAACUAUGUGCCAGCAGCCGCCGUAA
rnacentral:rRNA from 1 species